UUUAACUAGGUAGUUGAAAAAAUUGGUUAACUUGCCCAGCUUUGAUUAUUUGAAAAAGCUAGUAUUUUAUCGAUGGUAGAAUUCACUAAAACACUCUCAGCACAUUUUCUGUUAGUACACCAAAAACGAAAAGACCCGUUUUUCAAGUGGUUAGAUUCACUAAAAGUAUAAUUUUCAAUUCCAUAUCUAGGGACUAGGUUGAUAUAAAAUUCCUAUAGAAUAAUAUUUUUAUCUUAUAAUCAUUACAAUUUUAUCUUUUAUAUUGCGUCGCACUGCACGUCAAUCACUUGUUAAAUAAUAUCAAACCCUCAUUACUACGUCGACCCACGGGCCACGACCUUCGCUCACUAAUUAUGUCCAAUCUAAAGAUAAAUGAUAAACCAAAUACGAAAAAUGAUAAUCCGAUCACAAAAUUCAGGGAUAAAAAAAAUAUAUUGUCUCGCCCAAACACAUUAUAAAAAACUCGGUUAACUCGCCCAAACACAUUACUUUUAUUAUACGGGUAAAAAGGCAAUUCGCCCAAACGCAAACCGCCCCUAUUAUCAAUGGUCGAAAUCCUCCUCCUGGCAAGCCCGGCUCAUGCGGUAGGCGACAUAGGCCCACGCCUAGGGCGGCAAUUAAGCAGCACUCUAGUAAGAUGGUGGCAUUUUCAAAAUACUGAUAAUAUUAUAUUGUUGGAGACGCCAAAAUUUCAUUUUUCCUAGUUCACUUGUUUCGCUUUAGCCGGUCAUGUCUCGUGGCAUAUUGAUAAUUAAUUAAUUUGGCAUAGCCAACCAAAAAGUAGAAUAGUGUCUGCAAAAAUGAUUAAUUUUAAUAUUAAUUCGUUUUAUUGUUGAUUUUUAGAAUGAAAGUAAACAAAAUUGUAAACAAAUACUCGCGUCCCCAGGAGACGAACACCUAUGACGCUUCCGGGAAAGUUCGGAAGCGUUAUAGCAAAAAAAAAAUCUGAUAAGUGACGUGAGUAGAUGCAUACAAAAUAAAAAUCCUGCAGGAAUAAUACUAAAAUGUGUACCAUCUAAUUUCUGUUUCAGUUUGCUUUAAAUGUAAAAAAAAGGGCACAUAAUCAAAGAUUGCCCAGCCUUUGCAGCCCCACCCACAGGGUUACCCCCACCACCACGGCCACCACAACGACCCCGCGACGACCACCACGACCCCGAAAUAGCAAUGGUGACCGCGGCGAUGGCCGUGGUGGGCGUCAGUGAUGAGGUGUCACCAAGCCCGAGCAGUAGGAGUUGUAAAUUUCAGUUGGACAAUAUCCAUCGAAUUUCAUGUUUUGUUACAUAUAUUUAAUUUAUUUAAUUUUAUAUUUUUCAGCUUAAUAAAAACUUUUGUUUUAUCACAUUUUUUUCUUGUUCUUUUAAUAAGUUAGUUUCUUGCCUGUGUCUAAGAUACAACAAAUUAUACACAGAUACAAUAGCUUAAUGUGUAAUAUAUCUGUACAUAAAUGGUGAAGUUUUGAAAUGUACACCGUCAAACGGUCCAACUUGGGUCAGUUUUGAAAUGCUAUUAUAGAUAACUUUAAGAUUAAUUAAUCUAGAGGUAUUUUCAAUGUAAAAUUUUUUAUGUUAAGGUUUGAUUUAUUAAUUUCUGUUGCAUUUGAACCAUACAAAUUAUUCCUUCUAAGUUUUUUUUUGUAUUUUUCUACAUACCCCAUAUGCAGUACUGAAUUUCGACAACAUGGGGCACUCAAGCUUUUCUUAUGAAAAACCUAUUUUAUAAUUUACUUAAACCAACUUGGGGCAC